rnacentral:rRNA from 1 species
UACGUAGGGGGCAAGCGUUGUCCGGAAUCAUUGGGCGUAAAGAGCGUGUAGGCGGCCCGAUAAGUCCGCUGUGAAAGUCCAGGGCUCAACCCUGGAAUGCCGGUGGAUACUGUCGGGCUCGAAUCCGGAAGAGGUGAGUGGAAUUCCCGGUGUAGCGGUGAAAUGCGCAGAUAUCGGGAGGAACACCAAUGGCGAAGGCAGCUCGCUGGGACGGUACUGACGCUGAGACGCGAAAGCGUGGGGAGCAAACAGGG